GUGGAGAUCAGUUUCCUGAGCGAGCCCUCCUUUGUUAGUGUGUGUCCUCUCCUGGGAUCUGUCUGGCAGUUUGUGGUGCCCAGUAGCCAUUUGAGUGGAUGAAUAAUAACAGAUUGCCCUUCAUGGCUUUGGGCAAAUUACUUAAUGUCCCCAGGCCUUGGUUCCCCCAUCCCAGUGAUGGUGCAUAGUGAGCCAUUAAUAAGUAUUAUGGCUGUUCAUAAUGAAGCAGGACAGCUGUGGGCUGCUGUGUGGCCCCUGCUUGUAGGGGAGACUUCGGUCCAUCCUGGGAUGUCUUCCUUGCCUGUUUUUGUCUCCUUUAACUGCUCUUCGUGUCACCAUGACAGCUAACAUUAGUACCCCCUACAAUGUGCCAGACCCUGUUCUAAACACUUUGUGUACAUAAGUCCCCGAGACCUUGGACCAACAUUGUGCAACAGAUAUUAUCAUCUCCAUUUUGCUGAUAAAAAUGGAGGCACAGAGUUCAAGUGUCUUACUCUAGAGCAGUUGUUCGACUUCAGCUCUGCUUACAUGGUGGGCUGGAGAAUUCUUGUUUGCGGGGGUGUGGUGAGGGGGCUGCCCUGUGCACUGUAGUAGCAUCUGCUCGCUGGAUGCUGGCAACAGCAUGCAUCCCACCCCGAGCUGUGACAGACUAGCCACCCUGGACUUGCGAAUUGUCCGCUGUGGUGCAGAAUUGCCCCUGGUUGUGAACCCCUCCAAGUAUGGCCGUUGUUGCACCAGCUGCCUCAGUGUGACAUAGGAUUUUGUUAGAAUUGCCAAAUCUUUUACUUUUUCUUUUUAAGUUUUUGUUUUGUUUUGUUUUGUUUUAGUAACCUCUGCACCCAGUGUGGGGCUUGAACUCAUGAUCCCGAGAUCAAGAGUAGCUUGCUCCUUUAACUGAGCCUGCAAGGUGCCCCAGAGUUGCAGGAUCUUGGGCCCUGCCCAGAAGUAGGGAAUCAGAAUUUCUGGGGGGGGGGGGGGAUGUGUGUGCCCAGAGCCUCUCUUAAUCUUAAUCUGUGCCUGUCUCAUGCAUAUUCAUAAUUCCUAUCACUUAUUUACUUGUCUGGCUACCCCACUCACCCAGCCCAACGGGGAGGCAGGGAUGGGGCCUCCUACCUCAGUGCCCCAGCAUCCCCUGCAGUGCCUGAACAUAGGUGCCAUGCAUGUCCGGAUGGGUGGAUGUUGGUUUGCAGCUAGGAUCAAACAUUCUUGUGGACUCCCGGCUCUUGGCCUUGUCAUACACACAGGCAGUUCUCAGGUGCCUACUCUGGAAUUGCAUUUAUCCCCGGGCUGUUCCUAGGCUGACCCUGUUACAGGGUCAACACGGGUAGAACACAACCUGUGUUCUCCCCAAAGUCCCUGGUUCAGAGAGGUCUUAGCUCACAGAGGCAGAAGAUUCUGCCCUACUUGGAGAUGCUACAGGUUGGUUGGUUUUUAUUUGAGACACAGAUGGUGAACAAUAUCUUGUUAGUUUUGGGAGUAAAAUGCUAGGGUUUCAAGAGUGGCUUUUCUCAUUAAAAAGAGAUGGAAUAUGUGCAUAGAGACAAAGGGUCGUGAUCUAUUUAGUGGGAAGAAAUUAGGGAAUACAAGUUAAAGUAUACGUAAAACUAUAUGUAGACUGUAUAUAAAAUGAUACACAAAAACAGAAUCUGUGCAUCUGAGAGACAAAGGGUCUAGUGUGGCCCACAGACUAUGAAUUGCUUUUUACCUGUUUAGGUGAAGUAAAUAUAGCAAUUGAGAGUAAGACUUUGGAAACUUUUUUAAAAAUGCAGUUUGACCUUGCUGAGACUUCCACAAGGCCUUUCACUUUCCUAGCUUAUUUUUUAUUGUAUUAUAGUGUUGAUUCACAGUGGGUGGAUUAUGGGGGUGGAAGAUCCAUUACCAUAUAGUUUGAGAAGCAUGGCUCUAGAAAAAUGUAUCCUCAGAUGUGACUAGUGGCUGUUGCUAGUUGCUAAAAAUGUGGGUGACUUUUAGGUUUCAUUUUUUUGGUAUUUUCUGAAUUUUUCACAAUGACCGUAUUUUAUCAUCUUCAUAAGCAAGGGAUGGGGGUGGAGAAUGAAGCACUAUAAUAAAGAGAUGUCUUUAUGAGUCAAAGAAAUGAAUGUCUAUGGAAGGAAUUUUAGCAACUACGAAGGCUGGUGGGAAAAAAUGUUCUGAUUGGUAGUCCCUGCCUUCAUUGUAGACCAACCCUGGUGUUAGUGGGUUUGCUUGGUGAAUUACUGUAUUGUUAGAUAGUCAUUGUGGUAAUUCCUGGCAGCACAAAAAGUGCUGUGAAGGCAUUUUAGGAUUGUCUGUAGCCAAGAAGCCCUCAUUUGUACACUUACUAUAAACACAAAAAUCACCAAGAUACAAUAGUGAGAAACAUUUCAAGUAUUAGGAAUAUUUAGAUACUGAAACUUAGUUAUGACAUGAAUUUGAGUUACUAUAUGAAUUUUAAGCGGAUGAGGACUGAGGGCACAGAGAGGCUGCCUUGCACCGUCUCACUCACUGGCUUUUCAUUAGCAAACUUCUCUUAGUUUGGGCUGUUGGCAAGAACACAGAAAUAGCUAUCUAUUGCCUUAAAAAAACAAAUCAGAUCGGUCUUCCCUUGAAGCUGUGAAGACCAGUGAGAUGCUACAUAGUCAUCUGGAACCCAUCUUAGGAACAUAGGCACUUGCUGUUAUGGUGCAAAUGGAACUUUUCUGUUGUGAUGUGACCGGAUCCUCAGGUUUAUCCGAGAUGCUAUCCCUCUGACUCUGAGGUGCCCCAAAGUGUCCCCGCCUCAAAAGACGACAGGCUGUGGGGUUGAUGGAUUCGUUGCUGUCCCGGUGGUGGAUAGAAGCUUCAGGUCACCAAAUUGUCAGAGCAGUGGUCCCCAGGGACUGCUGCUUUUUCCUGUAGAGCUGCUAUUUUCCCCUCUGAGCAUUGACUGUAGGGACUGGCAAUGUAGUGGGGGUGUGUAUGUGUUUUGGCUGAAUGAAUUAAAUAUCUACUGAACCUUAUCCUUUGGCAAAUAUCCUGGUUCUCUUUGCCCAGCCCUCCUCUUUUGAGAGUGACUUAAUCUGCCUAGCCUCACUUGGAUGUGUCCAGCAGUAAAGCAGUCUAUGUGGUGCGGGUCUCAGGAUAAUUCGCAGAGUACCUCUUGUAGGGCCCGGCGCAUCAGCCUCUUUCAUUUCCUUAAAGGAAGAUGGAAAACAAUUUUGUUCUGUUCUUGCCUGGUUCUUUCCCUUUGCUCUGUUUUUCUGGAUUAUCCAAGAGAUAUUAAUAUUUGCUCUGACAGAGAGAAACCGCUAACAGGGAGACAGUGAGAGGAACAUCCGCUAUUUGUUGUAACCGCAGACAAGCCCACUUCAUGUAAACUCUUCUGUUGUUUGGCGUGAGGCUCAGCUGAGGCGUGACGAAUGGGCUUUGGUCGUCUUCGUCCACCCUGUCCUUCUGCUGCUAGAAUGCAAGGGUUCUGCUGCUUCCAGUUUGGUUUGAAGCCUGCAUAUUUGAUAUUUUCUUCUCCAGUUUUUGGCUUUAUGGGAAGAACAGUAAAAUGGGGGGUGUCGUCCUGCCUGAUUGUCCUGUUGCUGUUUCUACCCAACAGAUUGUCCCACAACUUCAUUGCUCAGAACAGUGGCAUUUUGCCCAGGACUGUGGGUCAGGAACCUAGGAGAAGGCUCAGUUGGUUAAAUUCCAUUCUCGUGGCUCGGGCACAUGGAACAUCAACAAAAAAAGAUGAAUUGAAAGUGAGUCUUUUCCAAAAGGACAUUCUACAAAGUAACUGGCUCAUAUUAUUCAAAAAUAUCAAGGCCAUGAAAGACAAAAAAAGACUGAAGGACUGUUCCAGAUUAAAGGAGACUAGAGAAACACGGCAGCUGAAUGCAAGCUGGCAAGCCUGGAUUGGAUCCUCAAAGAUUGUUCUCCUUUACUAUAAAAGACAAUAGUGAGACAGUUGAUGCAAUUUGAAUAAAGUCAGAGACUAGUUUAA